CAGCCGCCGCGGGAAUACGAAGGUCCCAAGCGUUGUUCGGAAUCACUGGGCGUAAAGGGAGCGUAGGCGGCGCGGUAAGUCAGAUGUGAAAUCCCGGGGCUCAACCCCGGAACUGCAUCCGAUACUGCCAUGCUUGAGGGUUGGAGAGGUAGCUGGAAUUCUCGGUGUAGCAGUGAAAUGCGUGGAUAUCGAGAGGAACACUCGUGGCGAAGGCGAGCUACUGGACAACAUCCGACGCUGAGGCUCGAAGGCUAGGGUAGCGAAAGGGAUUAGAUACCCCUGUAGUCCCUGUCUCUUAUAC
rnacentral:rRNA from 1 species